UACAGGGGGGGCAAGCGUUGUUCGGAAUUACUGGGCGGAAAGGGCUCGUAGGCGGCCGGCUAAGUCCGACGUGAAAUCCCCAGGCUUAACCUGGGAACUGCGUCGGAUACUGGCGGGCUUGAAUCCGGGAGAGGGAUGCGGAAUUCCAGGUGUAGCGGUGAAAUGCGUAGAUAUCUGGAGGAACACCGGUGGCGAAGGCGGCAUCCUGGACCGGUAUUGACGCUGAGGCGCGAAAGCCAGGGGAGCAAACGGG
rnacentral:rRNA from 1 species